ensembl:lncRNA
UGUGUGGAAUGAGUGUGAGUGAGUGAGUGUGAGUGAGUGUGUGAAUGAGUGUGAGUGAGUGUGUGAGUGAGUGAGUGCGUGUGUGAGUGAGUGAGCGAGCGUGUGAGUGUGUGUGUGAGUGAGCGAGCGUGUGAGUGAGUGUGUGUGAGUGAGUGAGCGUGUGAGUGAGUGAGCGAGCGUGUGAGUGAGUGUGUGUGUGAGUAGCGAGUGUGUGAGUGAGUGAGCGAGCGUGUGAGUGAGUGUGUGUUUGUGAGUGAGCGAGCGUGUGAG